AUUGAACGCUGGCGGCAGGCCUAACACAUGCAAGUCGAACGAGUGGCGGACGGGUGAGUAAUGUCUGGGAAACUGCCUGAUGGAGGGGGAUAAAUACUGGAAACGGUAGAUAUUACCGCAUACCAUCGGAUGUGCCCAGAGGGGCUUAGCUAGUAGGUGGGGUAAAGGCUCACCUAGGCGACGAUCCCUAGCUGGUCUGAGAGGAUGACCAGCCAAAUGGGAACUGAGAAACGGUCCAGACUCCUACGGGGGGCAGCAGUGGGGAAUAUUGCACAAGGGGCGCAGGCCGAAUGCAGCCAUGCCGGGGGGAUGAAGAGGGCCUUCGGGUUGUAAAGUACGUUCAGCGGGGAGGCGUUACCCGCAGAAGAAGCACCGGCUAACUCCGUGCCAGCAGCCGCGGUAAUUC
rnacentral:rRNA from 1 species